UGGAUCCUUCUGAGCCUU
rnacentral:snRNA from 1 species